rnacentral:SRP_RNA from 1 species
GCCGGGCGAGGUGGCGGGUGCCUGUAGUCCCAGCUACUCGGGAGGCUGAGGCAGGAGAAUGGCGUGAACCCGGGAGGCGGAGCUUGCAGUGAGGCUCACUGCAAGCUCCACCUCCCGGGUUUACGCCAUUCUCCUGCCUCAG